rnacentral:sRNA from 1 species
CGGUAACAGCUGUCUUCAGCAACUGCUCGUCGUCGUCGUAUACUUCGCCAAUCACAGAUAUUACGCGAUUCGCACCGAUUGCCUGUCCAACUAAGCGCGAAAUAUGCUUUUAUCGCGCAAACUCGUCGGGCGUCGCUUCCUCCUCCUGCAUCUCUUAAUUAUCGCUAUGACACGCGCGAGCUGCAUCAAAGUGGCCGACGACGCGACGGACGACGAGACCCAACGCGAGACCUCGUCGAGAAGCCAAUACGCCGUUCGCGAGGCGACAACGACCGCGACGCCGUCGGAGGCGGCUACCAACAGCGGUCGGAAGUCAAUGUCGCCGAUCGUCGUGAAGGAUCCCCAGCGGAAUUCGUCCCAAGACUUCCGUCCGAGCCCGCACUUGGGCGAAAUCGAGCAACCGUCCACGGUUAUCCGAAUGAAUCCCUUCAACAGUGUGCAGCACGUGAAGUUCGAGAACAAGGUCCAGCUGGACCCGCGGCGCGAACUCUUUCAGGAUGCUCUUCAGGACGGGUACCAAGGCAUAUCCAGUAUCCUGGACGAGGCGACGCGACCGAGUAGAAUCAAGUUCCAGGACGACGGUAAGUGAACGUGCAUUGUGUUAAUUUCGAGCAUUCAUCAUUCCUUAGUGGGUCAGAAAGUUGUGACGGAGUAUGCCGGGUCGUCGUUUGUAGACGAUGGUAACGUCAAGCACGUGUUCGUCGACCAGAGCUUCUUCCGAAACGUCGAGAAGCCGGUGGUGGAGCAAGACGCGUCUUCAAUUUUUGGCAAAACAAUGGCCGAUCAACAGCUGAUGAGCGGUACUUACCUGGAUACUUUGCGGUCCCCAUACGUCAUCGGUUACUACAGCGAUGGCGAUCAGAACGCUCAUCAGCCAAUGUCGCACGAGACCGCGUACGAGAUAGUGAAACAGCCGGAGAGCGGCGUGUUGGUUCUUCAGCAAGAGGAGUCCACUUACACGAGGAAGCGCAAGUUCCCUUACCAGUUUUAUCAACCGAGCAGCGAGUACCACGAGGUGAAAUAUGCGGAGGUGCCGCAGCAUUCGACGGUGGCUUAUCCGCCAAUGAAAAAACUAUCGCCGUGGAAGAAAAUCGUUCGCCUGAUCGGCACUUUUCUGCCGUUGGGUCUGCUGUUGGCGACGUUGACACCCAACGUCGUGCGAAUCAACAACACGACAACGCAGCCGAGCAUUGUCCUUUCAAAACUACGGGUCGCCGACCUGCCGGUCGAGCAUAAACGAGCAACCCGCCUGCUUGAAGACCAAUCGGCCACUUGCGAGGAUCGAUCGAUCUGCGAAAUGAUCUUGGCCGGCAACGAGCCGGAAUCCAAUAUCCUGCAGAACAUCCUGUGGAACUUGGCUACUAGAAUCUCGGACGACGUUGCGACGAGGAAUGGUCUUCGCCAAGUGUUGGACGCUGUGAAGAAGAAAGACUGCACGACGUUCACCUGUUAACGGUCGCCUAGGAUGCCCGGAGGAAUCAGCUCGUCACACGCGACCUUCUUCGCUUCGAUUGGCGUAUCAUGGCGUCUUGUCUCUAGAAAGCAUGUCCAUACGUAAAGAUAAGAGACGCGUCUUCUUAUCCCAGAGGGGGAGAGGAAACGUCUAGCUUUAAUGUUACACAUAAAGUAUAUUAUGUAA